GAGAAGUGAUGACACAGAGACAGUUGGGUGUGUUUGGAUGGGGUGUGUGUGAGCAGGGGGGUGGGGGCUGUGUGAGGUGUGUGGGGGCUCCCCUGGGGGCACUGAUGGCAGUGCUGAGCCAGGAGUGCAUCUGAGGCGUGUUGGGCACCUCGGGGCCCCUCUGCAACACUGCCGGUGAUUAAAGCCCCAAAAAAGCCCACCAGGAGAGCCCCAGGCAGCCCAAGUGUCUCCAGGGUCACCAGAUCCUGUGCUCUGAUCUCA